AAGGAUGCUGGUCGCGCCAACACAGAUCAGCCAUCCCUCUGUUUUUGUUUCACUUUUCUUCGUUUAUUUCGUUAAGCAUAUUUUCCAGCCACUGAAAUAAAACAGUUGUUUUCCCACCCAAAUUUGGCAUAUUAUUAUGUUUUUGUGUUUUCUUUAUACAAAUUUGGGCUUAAAACCUCCACGCUUGUUAUUUGUUAAACCACAAUUGAUGCACGUACAUUUAGUGUCCAACAAACAAGGGAUUUUAUACUCCAAAUAGUUUUGUCAUUAAUUAAUUUAUUCCACGCUUGAUCAUCCUUGUUAUGCUCAGGGACAUAUCAAUAGAGUCCUAACAUUAUCCCACUUGAAUUAUCAUUGAUCAUAUCCUUCAUCAACAUAUUGAAUCAAAUUAAUCCCUUAGUGAUCACUUUUGGACAACAUAACCAUUAAUCCCUUUGCAUAUCUGCCAUAAACUAUUUCAAAGAAAUAAACCUUAGAAAAUCUUGUACAUCAAUACAAGCACCCUAAGACCACAUUUCCCAAAAUAACUUAUGCGUGAUGCAAAUACCGAAAAAAAUUUAAAGUUUGUUUCCAAGCUCCCACUGAUCAGAGCAGUCCACCAUUGUCAAGCUUUUGUUUAGUCUGAAUCUUUCAUCAGUCCACAACAUUUCAAUUAGGGGUG
rnacentral:lncRNA from 1 species